rnacentral:rRNA from 1 species
GUCUAUGGCCAUGCCUCCCUGAACAUGUCUGAUCUCAGAAGCUAAGCAAGGUUGGGCCUAGUUAGUACUUGGAUGGGAGACCGCCUAGGAAGACCAGAUGCUGUAGGCA